rnacentral:rRNA from 1 species
UGGGGAAUAUUGGGCAAUGGGCGAAAGCCUGACCCAGCAAUGCCGCGUGAAGGAAGAAGGCCUUCGGGUUGUAAACUUCUUUUAUCAGGGACGAAGGAUGUGACGGUACCUGAUGAAUAAGCUCCGGCUAACUACGUGCCAGCAGCCGCGGUAAUACGUAGGGAGCAAGCGUUAUCCGGAUUUACUGGGUGUAAAGGGCGCGUAGGCGGGAUGGCAAGUCAGAUGUGAAAUCCAUGGGCUCAACCCAUGAACUGCAUUUGAAACUGUUAUUCUUGAGUACUGGAGAGGUUGACGGAAUUCCUAGUGUAGCGGUGAAAUGCGUAGAUAUUAGGAGGAACACCAGUGGCGAAGGCGGUCAACUGGACAGCAACUGACGCUGAGGCGCGAAAGCG